GGUUAAGCGACUAAGCGUACACGGUGGAUGCCCUGGCAGUCAGAGGCGAUGAAGGACGUGCUAAUCUGCGAUAAGCGUCGGUAAGGUGAUAUGAACCGUUAUAACCGGCGAUUUCCGAAUGGGGAAACCCAGUGUGUUUCGACACACUAUCAUUAACUGAAUCCAUAGGUUAAUGAGGCGAACCGGGGGAACUGAAACAUCUAAGUACCCCGAGGAAAAGAAAUCAACCGAGAUUCCCCCAGUAGCGGCGAGCGAACGGGGAGCAGCCCAGAGCCUGAAUCAGUGUGUGUGUUAGUGGAAGCGUCUGGAAAGGCGCGCGAUACAGGGUGACAGCCCCGUACACAAAAAUGCACAUACUGUGAGCUCGAUGAGUAGGGCGGGACACGUGGUAUCCUGUCUGAAUAUGGGGGGACCAUCCUCCAAGGCUAAAUACUCCUGACUGACCGAUAGUGAACCAGUACCGUGAGGGAAAGGCGAAAAGAACCCCGGCGAGGGGAGUGAAAAAGAACCUGAAACCGUGUACGUACAAGCAGUGGGAGCACGCUUAGGCGUGUGACUGCGUACCUUUUGUAUAAUGGGUCAGCGACUUAUAUUCUGUAGCAAGGUUAACCGAAUAGGGGAGCCGAAGGGAAACCGAGUCUUAACUGGGCGUUAAGUUGCAGGGUAUAGACCCGAAACCCGGUGAUCUAGCCAUGGGCAGGUUGAAGGUUGGGUAACACUAACUGGAGGACCGAACCGACUAAUGUUGAAAAAUUAGCGGAUGACUUGUGGCUGGGGGUGAAAGGCCAAUCAAACCGGGAGAUAGCUGGUUCUCCCCGAAAGCUAUUUAGGUAGCGCCUCGUGAAUUCAUCUCCGGGGGUAGAGCACUGUUUCGGCAAGGGGGUCAUCCCGACUUACCAACCCGAUGCAAACUGCGAAUACCGGAGAAUGUUAUCACGGGAGACACACGGCGGGUGCUAACGUCCGUCGUGAAGAGGGAAACAACCCAGACCGCCAGCUAAGGUCCCAAAGUCAUGGUUAAGUGGGAAACGAUGUGGGAAGGCCCAGACAGCCAGGAUGUUGGCUUAGAAGCAGCCAUCAUUUAAAGAAAGCGUAAUAGCUCACUGGUCGAGUCGGCCUGCGCGGAAGAUGUAACGGGGCUAAACCAUGCACCGAAGCUGCGGCAGCGACGCUUAUGCGUUGUUGGGUAGGGGAGCGUUCUGUAAGCCUGUGAAGGUGUGCUGUGAGGCAUGCUGGAGGUAUCAGAAGUGCGAAUGCUGACAUAAGUAACGAUAAAGCGGGUGAAAAGCCCGCUCGCCGGAAGACCAAGGGUUCCUGUCCAACGUUAAUCGGGGCAGGGUGAGUCGACCCCUAAGGCGAGGCCGAAAGGCGUAGUCGAUGGGAAACAGGUUAAUAUUCCUGUACUUGGUGUUACUGCGAAGGGGGGACGGAGAAGGCUAUGUUGGCCGGGCGACGGUUGUCCCGGUUUAAGCGUGUAGGCUGGUUUUCCAGGCAAAUCCGGAAAAUCAAGGCUGAGGCGUGAUGACGAGGCACUACGGUGCUGAAGCAACAAAUGCCCUGCUUCCAGGAAAAGCCUCUAAGCAUCAGGUAACAUCAAAUCGUACCCCAAACCGACACAGGUGGUCAGGUAGAGAAUACCAAGGCGCUUGAGAGAACUCGGGUGAAGGAACUAGGCAAAAUGGUGCCGUAACUUCGGGAGAAGGCACGCUGAUAUGUAGGUGAAGUCCCUCGCGGAUGGAGCUGAAAUCAGUCGAAGAUACCAGCUGGCUGCAACUGUUUAUUAAAAACACAGCACUGUGCAAACACGAAAGUGGACGUAUACGGUGUGACGCCUGCCCGGUGCCGGAAGGUUAAUUGAUGGGGUCAGCGCAAGCGAAGCUCUUGAUCGAAGCCCCGGUAAACGGCGGCCGUAACUAUAACGGUCCUAAGGUAGCGAAAUUCCUUGUCGGGUAAGUUCCGACCUGCACGAAUGGCGUAAUGAUGGCCAGGCUGUCUCCACCCGAGACUCAGUGAAAUUGAACUCGCUGUGAAGAUGCAGUGUACCCGCGGCAAGACGGAAAGACCCCGUGAACCUUUACUAUAGCUUGACACUGAACAUUGAGCCUUGAUGUGUAGGAUAGGUGGGAGGCUUUGAAGUGUGGACGCCAGUCUGCAUGGAGCCGACCUUGAAAUACCACCCUUUAAUGUUUGAUGUUCUAACGUUGACCCGUAAUCCGGGUUGCGGACAGUGUCUGGUGGGUAGUUUGACUGGGGCGGUCUCCUCCUAAAGAGUAACGGAGGAGCACGAAGGUUGGCUAAUCCUGGUCGGACAUCAGGAGGUUAGUGCAAUGGCAUAAGCCAGCUUGACUGCGAGCGUGACGGCGCGAGCAGGUGCGAAAGCAGGUCAUAGUGAUCCGGUGGUUCUGAAUGGAAGGGCCAUCGCUCAACGGAUAAAAGGUACUCCGGGGAUAACAGGCUGAUACCGCCCAAGAGUUCAUAUCGACGGCGGUGUUUGGCACCUCGAUGUCGGCUCAUCACAUCCUGGGGCUGAAGUAGGUCCCAAGGGUAUGGCUGUUCGCCAUUUAAAGUGGUACGCGAGCUGGGUUUAGAACGUCGUGAGACAGUUCGGUCCCUAUCUGCCGUGGGCGCUGGAGAACUGAGGGGGGCUGCUCCUAGUACGAGAGGACCGGAGUGGACGCAUCACUGGUGUUCGGGUUGUCAUGCCAAUGGCACUGCCCGGUAGCUAAAUGCGGAAGAGAUAAGUGCUGAAAGCAUCUAAGCACGAAACUUGCCCCGAGAUGAGUUCUCCCUGACUCCUUGAGAGUCCUGAAGGAACGUUGAAGACGACGACGUUGAUAGGCCGGGUGUGUAAGCGCAGCGAUGCGUUGAGCUAACCGGUACUAAUGAACCGUGAGGCUUAACCUU
rnacentral:rRNA from 1 species